rnacentral:rRNA from 1 species
GACGAACGCUGGCGGCGCGCCUAACACAUGCAAGUCGAACGAGCGAGAGAGAGCUUGCUUUCUCGAGCGAGUGGCGAACGGGUGAGUAACGCGUGAGGAACCUGCCUCAAAGAGGGGGACAACAGUUGGAAACGACUGCUAAUACCGCAUAAGCCCACGGCUCGGCAUCGAGCAGAGGGAAAAGGAGCAAUCCGCUUUGAGAUGGCCUCGCGUCCGAUUAGCUAGUUGGUGAGGUAAUGGCCCACCAAGGCAACGAUCGGUAGCCGGACUGAGAGGUUGAACGGCCACAUUGGGACUGAGACACGGCCCAGACUCCUACGGGAGGCAGCAGUGGGGAAUAUUGCACAAUGGGGGAAACCCUGAUGCAGCGACGCCGCGUGGAGGAAGAAGGUCUUCGGAUUGUAAACUCCUGUUGUUGAGGAAGAUAAUGACGGUACUCAACAAGGAAGGACGG